rnacentral:rRNA from 1 species
GACGUAGGGCGCGAGCGUUGUCCGGAUUUAUUGGGCGUAAAGAGCUCGUAGGCGGCUUGUCGCGUCGAAUGUGAAAUCCCGAGGCUCAACUUCGGGCUUGCAUUCGAUACGGGCAGGCUAGAGUUCGGUAGGGGAGACUGGAAUUCCUGGUGUAGCGGUGAAAUGCGCAGAUAUCAGGAGGAACACCGGUGGCGAAGGCGGGUCUCUGGGCAGUAACUGACGCUGAGGAGCGAAAGCGUGGGGAGCGAACAGG